UACGUAGGGUCCGAGCGUUGUCCGGAAUUAUUGGGCGUAAAGAGCUCGUAGGCGGUUUGUCGCGUCUGCUGUGAAAUCCCGAGGCUCAACCUCGGGCCUGCAGUGGGUACGGGCAGACUGGAGUGCGGUAGGGGAGAAUGGAAUUCCUGGUGUAGCGGUGGAAUGCGCAGAUAUCAGGAGGAACACCGAUGGCGAAGGCAGUUCUCUGGGCCAUAACUGACGCUGAGGAGCGAAAGCAUGGGGAGCGAACAGG
rnacentral:rRNA from 1 species